rnacentral:rRNA from 1 species
GAAGGGGGGCUAGCGUUGCUCGGGAAUCACUCGGGGCGUAAAGGGCGCGUAGGCGGCCGAUUAAGUCCGGGGGGUGGGAAAGACCUGUGGGCCUCAACCAACAGAAUUGCCUUCCGAUACUGGUUGGCGUUGAGAACCGGAAGAGGACAGCGGAACUGCGAGUGUAGAGGUGAAAUUACGUAGAUAUUCGCAAGAACACCAGUGGCGAAGGCGGCUGUCUGGUCCGGUUCGUGACGCUGAGGCGCGAAAGCGUGGGGAGGCAAACAAGGAGUUAGAUACCCUCGGUAGUCCACGCCGUAAACGAAUGAAUAGCCACGCCGUUCGGGUCCGUCGCGUUGUCAGGUCGAGUGGCGGCCGCUAACGACAUUAAGUACAUUCCGUCCUCGGGAGGUACGGUCGCAAGAUU